UAGAGUUGGGAUUGGCUCAGAUUGAACGCUGGCGGCAGGCUUAACACAUGCAAGUCGAGCGGAGUGAUGGUGCUUGCACUAUCACUUAGCGGCGGACGGGUGAGUAAUGCUUAGGAAUCUGCCUAUUAGUGGGGGACAACAUUUCGAAAGGAAUGCUAAUACCGCAUACGUCCUACGGGAGAAAGCAGGGGAUCUUCGGACCUUGCGCUAAUAGAUGAGCCUAAGUCGGAUUAGCUAGUUGGUGGGGUAAAGGCCUACCAAGGCGACGAUCUGUAGCGGGUCUGAGAGGAUGAUCCGCCACACUGGGACUGAGACACGGCCCAGACUCCUACGGGAGGCAGCAGUGGGGAAUAUUGGACAAUGGGCGCAAGCCUGAUCCAGCCAUGCCGCGUGUGUGAAGAAGGCCUUAUGGUUGUAAAGCACUUUAAGCGAGGAGGAGGCUACUGAAGUUAAUACCUUCAGAUAGUGGACGUUACUCGCAGAAUAAGCACCGGCUAACUCUGUGCCAGCAGCCGCGGUAAUACAGAGGGUGCAAGCGUUAAUCGGAUUUACUGGGCGUAAAGCGCGCGUAGGCGGCUAAUUAAGUCAAAUGUGAAAUCCCCGAGCUUAACUUGGGAAUUGCAUUCGAUACUGGUUAGCUAGAGUGUGGGAGAGGAUGGUAGAAUUCCAGGUGUAGCGGUGAAAUGCGUAGAGAUCUGGAGGAAUACCGAUGGCGAAGGCAGCCAUCUGGCCUAACACUGACGCUGAGGUGCGAAAGCAUGGGGAGCAAACAGGAUUAGAUACCCUGGUAGUCCAUGCCGUAAACGAUGUCUACUAGCCGUUGGGGCCUUUGAGGCUUUAGUGGCGCAGCUAACGCGAUAAGUAGACCGCCUGGGGAGUACGGUCGCAAGACUAAAACUCAAAUGAAUUGACGGGGGCCCGCACAAGCGGUGGAGCAUGUGGUUUAAUUCGAUGCAACGCGAAGAACCUUACCUGGCCUUGACAUAGUAAGAACUUUCCAGAGAUGGAUUGGUGCCUUCGGGAACUUACAUACAGGUGCUGCAUGGCUGUCGUCAGCUCGUGUCGUGAGAUGUUGGGUUAAGUCCCGCAACGAGCGCAACCCUUUUCCUUAUUUGCCAGCGAGUAAUGUCGGGAACUUUAAGGAUACUGCCAGUGACAAACUGGAGGAAGGCGGGGACGACGUCAAGUCAUCAUGGCCCUUACGGCCAGGGCUACACACGUGCUACAAUGGUCGGUACAAAGGGUUGCUACCUAGCGAUAGGAUGCUAAUCUCAAAAAGCCGAUCGUAGUCCGGAUUGGAGUCUGCAACUCGACUCCAUGAAGUCGGAAUCGCUAGUAAUCGCGGAUCAGAAUGCCGCGGUGAAUACGUUCCCGGGCCUUGUACACACCGCCCGUCACACCAUGGGAGUUUGUUGCACCAGAAGUAGGUAGUCUAACCGCAAGGAGGACGCUUACCACGGUGUUGGCCGAUGACUGGGGUGAAGUCGUAACAAGGUAAACCGUAAA
rnacentral:rRNA from 1 species